rnacentral:rRNA from 1 species
GACGAACGCUGGCGGCGUGCUUAACACAUGCAAGUCGAACGAUGAAGAAAAGAAUUGAAGCUUCGGCAGAAAUUCAUUUCGGAUUAGUGGCAGACGGGUGAGUAACGCGUGAGCAACCUACCUCUUACAAAGGGAUAGCCUCGGGAAACCGGGAUUAAUACCAUAUAACAUUGCGACGAAGCAUUUCGAUGCAAUCAAAGCUACGGCGGUAAGAGAUGGGCUCGCGUCCCAUUAACCAGAUGGUGAGGUAACGGCUCACCAUAGUAACAAUGGGUAACCGGCCUGAGAGGGUGAACGGUCACACUGGAACUGAGACACGGUCCAGACUCCUACGGGAGGCAGCAGUGGGGAAUAUUGCACAAUGGAGGGAACUCUGAUGCAGCGACGCCGCGUGAGUGAUGAAGGAAUUCGUUUCGUAAAACUCUGUUCUAUGGGAAGAAAAGGACUGUACCAUAGGAGAAAGCUCCGGCUAAAUACGUG